UACGUAGGGUGCAAGCGUUAAUCGGAAUUACUGGGCGUAAAGCGUGCGCAGGCGGUUGUGCAAGACAGAUGUGAAAUCCCCGGGCUUAACCUGGGAAUUGCAUUUGUGACUGCACGGCUAGAGUGUGUCAGAGGGGGGUAGAAUUCCACGUGUAGCAGUGAAAUGCGUAGAUAUGUGGAGGAACACCGAUGGCGAAGGCAGCCCCCCUGGGCUAACACUGACGCUCAUGCACGAAAGCGUGGGGAGCAAACAGG
rnacentral:rRNA from 1 species